rnacentral:rRNA from 1 species
CCUACGGGUCGCAGCAGUAGGGAAUAUUGCUCAAUGGGGGAUACCCUGAAGCAGCCACGCCGCGUGGAGGAUGAAGGUUUUCGGAGUGUAAACUCCUUUUGUUAGAGAAGAUAAUUACAGUAUCUAACGAAUAAGCACUGGCUAACUCCGUGCCAGCAGCCGCGGUAAUACGGAGGGUGCAAGCGUUACUCGGAUUCACUGGGCGUAAAGAGCGCGUAGGCGGGUUAGCAAGUCAGAUGUGAAAUCUUAUGGCUUAACCAUAGAACUGCAGUUGAAACUGUUAUUCUAGAGUAUGGGAGAGGUAGGUGGAAUUCUUGGUGUAGGGGUAAAAUCCGUAGAGAUCAAGAGGAAUACUGAUUGCGAAGGCAACCUGCUAGAACAUAACUGACGCUGAUGCGCGAAAGUGUGGGUAGCAAACAGGAUUAGAUACCCUUGUAGUC